rnacentral:rRNA from 1 species
AUACGAAGGGAGCUAGCGUUGUUCGGAAUUACUGGGCGUAAAGCGCACGUAGGCGGAUUUGUUAGUCAGGGGUGAAAUCCCGGGGCCCAACCUCGGAACUGCCUUUGAUACUGCAAGUCUGGAGUCCGGAAGAGGUGGGUGGAAUUCCUAGUGUAGAGGUGAAAUUCGUAGAUAUUAGGAAGAACACCGGUGGCGAAGGCGGCCCACUGGUCCGGUACUGACGCUGAGGUGCGAAAGCGUGGGGAGCAAACAGAAUUAGAAACCCCUGUAGUCC